UACAGAGGGUGCGAGCGUUGUCCGGAAUCACUGGGCGUAAAGGGCGCGUAGGUGGCGCGACAAGUCAGUGGUGAAAGUUCGACGCUCAACGUCGAAUCGGCCACUGAUACUGUUGGGCUUGAGCACUGUAGAGGCUAAUGGAAUUCCGGGUGUAGCGGUGGAAUGCGUAGAGAUCCGGAAGAACACCGGUGGCGAAGGCGGUCUGCUGGGCCAAGACUGACGCUGAGGCGCGACAGCGUGGGGAGCAAACAGG
rnacentral:rRNA from 1 species